UACAGAGGGUGCAAGCGUUAAUCGGAAUUACUGGGCGUAAACGGGCCUAGACGGGUAUGUAAGUUCGGUUGGGAAAUCCCCGGGCUCAACCCGGGAACUGCGUCCGAUACUGGAUGGCUUGAAUCCGGGAGAGGGAUGCAGAAUUCCAGGUGUAGCGGUGAAAUGCGUAGAUAUCUGGAGGAAUACCGGUGGCGAAGGCGGCAUCCUGGACCGGCAUUGACGCUGAUGAGCGAAAGCUAGGGGAGCAAACGGG
rnacentral:rRNA from 1 species